CAGCUCGUUGUAGCCUCUUAUCUUUUAUUCACUGCAGAAAUUCAGAGCGUAAUAAUGAUUGCUGAUAACGGCCGAUACACACACCAACAUGUGAAUAAGGGGCACUUAUUUUUUU